UGGGGAAUAUUGGGCAAUGGGCGCAAGCCUGACCCAGCAACGCCGCGUGAAGGAAGAAGUAUUUCGGUAUGUAAAGCUCUAUCAGCAGGGAAGAAGAAUGACGGUACCUGACUAAGAAGCACCGGCUAAAUACGUGCCAGCAGCCGCGGUAAUACGUAUGGUGCAAGCGUUAUCCGGAUUUACUGGGUGUAAAGGGAGCGCAGGCGGUGCGGCAAGUCUGAUGUGAAAGCCCGGGGCUCAACCCCGGUACUGCAUUGGAAACUGUCGUACUAGAGUGUCGGAGGGGUAAGUGGAAUUCCUAGUGUAGCGGUGAAAUGCGUAGAUAUUAGGAGGAACACCAGUGGCGAAAGGCGGCUUACUGGACGAUAACUGACGCUGAGGCUCGAAAGCGUGGGGA
rnacentral:rRNA from 1 species